rnacentral:tRNA from 1 species
GGGCUGGGGCUCAGUGGUAGAGCGCUUGCCAUGCACGCAGGAGGCACUGGGUUCGAGCCUCAGCACCACA